rnacentral:tRNA from 1 species
GUUCGAAUGGUGUAGUGGUUAUCACAUGCCGUUCACACCGGCAAGGUCCCCGGUUCGAGCCCGGGUUCGAACA